rnacentral:rRNA from 1 species
UUUUAUGAGAGUUUGAUCCUGGCUCAGGACGAACGCUGGCGGCGUGCCUAAUACAUGCAAGUCGAACGCUUCUUUUUCCACCGGAGCUUGCUCCACCGGAAAAAGAAGAGUGGCGAACGGGUGAGUAACACGUGGGUAACCUGCCCAUCAGAAGGGGAUAACACUUGGAAACAGGUGCUAAUACCGUAUAACAAUCAAAACCGCAUGGUUUUGAUUUGAAAGGCGCUUUCGGGUGUCGCUGAUGGAUGGACCCGCGGUGCAUUAGCUAGUUGGUGAGGUAACGGCUCACCAAGGCCACGAUGCAUAGCCGACCUGAGAGGGUGAUCGGCCACAUUGGGACUGAGACACGGCCCAAACUCCUACGGGAGGCAGCAGUAGGGAAUCUUCGGCAAUGGACGAAAGUCUGACCGAGCAACGCCGCGUGAGUGAAGAAGGUUUUCGGAUCGUAAAACUCUGUUGUUAGAGAAGAACAAGGAUGAGAGUAACUGUUCAUCCCUUGACGG